UCCGACGAACCUUCCCACAUCGCAUUUCUGUAGUAGCUUAGAGGCACCAGGUAUUUUGUCAACCCUUUCCUGGUGCUCUAUUAUUUGAUCGCGAAGUACUUUCUUCUUGUUCUACAUUUCUUUUAUUUUCUUUAGAAUGGUUGUGAGUGCACCGUCACUUGCAUCGAUGGCAGUACGGGCCCGUUUGCAUAGUGCUUGGCUCGCCAGUGGCAACUGCAAUUUUUGCAGUCGGCAAGUCAUUGACAUUUCCUUGAGGGGCGUUUUCGAGCAUGUUGCUUAGGGCACUUGUCAACCAUUCCUCUAGCAGCUUUUUGAUCGCUAGUGGUGUUUCUCUCGCUGUCGAUGUGGAGGCUCUUUUUUCAUGCAAGACCGUCAGAUCCUCGUGUGGAGAAGGUGAUAUCUCCCCCUCCGGUGUAUGUCUUGGUGUUGUAUUCUUGGUGUCUUCCCUACUUGCUUCGUUGAGGGAGCUUAAGAGGUUGUUUGAGACAUCUGCUAUCAUCUUCAACCUCGCUUCUUUUUUCGCCAUUGUUGGUUCUUAUGGGAUGUGAAGAACAAUAAUAGUUGUUUGUUUAUAUCCUAGAUGAGAACUAUGGUUUUGACUACGAAAAUUUCUACAGACGGCACAAAAUUGUUUGACUCAAAAGAUUUUUAACUUUUUUCAAGCAAAUCAAUCAAAGAUAAAGAGGGAUAAAUCAUAGUCGAAGAUAAUAAACUCUCGGAUCAGAAGUAUAUAGAGAGAUAAGGGGACAGAGUUCAUAAAAGUAGAGAGAGAGAGAGAGAGAGUAGUUUUGUAGAUCCCAAAGAUCUAUCCGUUACAAGCAUUAAAGUUCCCUUUAUAUACUGGGGGCGUUUUUCAUAAUUAUGGCAAAUUAAGGAUUAUCUACUGUGACAAAUCUAACAAUGGUGCAAGGACAUCUCCCUUUCCGCCCCUAGGUCAUUUCCUUAUGUCGACUCGUUGGUCAACGGUUACCUAUCGUGGUAGCUAUAAACCGUGGUUGUUCAUAUUUAGACCUGUAUAAACAAUACGAGUGAUUAUAUUACUUGGAUGUGUAUUCCGUUUAUUCUCUCUAAUUUUUAAAUAGAAUAUCAGUGAAAUUUACCACAACCAGAAAAUCACAGGGGUAAUAAAAUAAAGGGAAAAAUGUAUAUUAGAACCCACAUGCAUCAAAGAGUGGGGCUUCUCAACUUUGUUACUUUAGUCGUAUCUCAUAGAGAAAAAUAAAUAAAGUUUGUUGUCUUUGUUCUCGUUAUCCCACUACUAAAAAACAAAAAUUAUUCACGGACAAAUUCCGUAGUUGAAACGAAAAAUUUGUCGAUAAUAAUAUAUAUUUAGAGACGAAUUACUGACGAUUUAAUGACAUAUUAGCAAUAAAUUUCGUAGCAAUUUUUUUGUAAUGUCUAUUCCUUUCUCUAAAAUUAUCUGUUGUAAUUUCCAAAAUUAGUAUCUCAAAUAUUUGUUCUUUUAGAAGUUUAAAAUAAAAUUAAUUAUAAUUUCUCAUUUUACCUUUAGUAGUAAUUGUACUUAAAGAUGGAGAUGGUACGUAUAACAACAACAACAAUAAACCUAGUGUAAUCCCAUAAAUGAGAUUUAGGGAGGGUAUUAUGUACGGAGACCUUACAUCUACCUUAUAAAGAUAGAGAAAUUGUUUUCGAUAGACCCUCGCCUUAGGGAACAAUGGAGAUAAGAUAAAGGAUCCAAGUAGCAAACAAUGGUAACAACAAUGUAGUAUGAUAAUGAUCGCGAAUGACACAUCAUGUAAUAAUACCAUGAUAAGAUAAUACAAAAAUAAUCCUAAUAUUACUGGUAAGUUUAGGAGGAACACACUACUAUCAAUCAACCACAACCCAAGCCUCGAUCUUCACACCUUUCUAUCAUAGGCUAUAUCCUCGGUAAGCUGAAGCAACGUCAUGCCAUGCCUAAUUACCUCUCCUCAAUACUUCUUCGACCUACCUUUCCCUUCAUUAGACCCGUCAUGGACAACCUCUCACACUCCUGACCAGAGAACCUCUACCUCUCCUCUUCACAUGCCCGAACCAUCUCAACCUCCAUUCCUGCAACUUGUCCUUCACAGAUGCCACUCCUACCUUGUACCUAAUAGCUUUAUUCCUAAUCCUCUCCUUCCUGGUAUGCCCACAGAUCCAUCGAUCUCAAUAUCCUCAUUUCAGCUACUUUUAUCUUCUGGACAUGGGAUUUCUUAACGGGCCAAUACUCAGCCCCAUACAACAUAGUUGGUGUAACCAUCACUCUAUAGGACUUACUCUUAAGUCCGGGUGGCACAUUCUUAACAUACAAAACCCCCCGAGGCGAGCCCCCAUCUCAUCCAUCCCCCUCCAAUGCGAUGAGUAACAUCCUCGUCAAUCUCCCUGUUGUCUUGAAUAAUAGACCCACGAUACUUAAAACUAUCUUUUCUGGGGAUGACUUGAAUAUCAAUUUUCACUUUCACUUCUUCUUCAUGCAUCCCAUCGCUGAACUUGCACUCCAAGCACUUGACCUAAUCAACUUAAAAUCUUUAGACUCCAGCGUUUGUCUCCAAACUUUCAAUCUAGCGUUAACUCCACCCACAUUUCGUCAAUCAUAACUAUGUCAUCAACAAAUAGUAUACACCAUGACAUUUCUUCUUGUACCAUAUUAAAUGGAAAUGGUACAUAAAUAAAAUAAAUAUUUAAUGAAGAUAGAUUAUAUCUUAAGAUAUUAAUAAGGUUAAUAUAAUAAAAAAAUCUUCUAAUUAAUGUUUCUUAAGGGUCAUGUAAAAGAGAAAUAUGAUAGAUAAUUUGAAAAAGAUAAGCAGUAUAUAAGUAUAUAUGUAAAGGAAAAUGCACUAUCUUUAAACACUUGUUGUAACUGUGUGAUAGAGAAACUAAUUGAGUCAAAGGUAUUAUUGGAAUAAUAGUAUCGUAUCAUACAUCGCAGUGUGAUUGACUUACAAGCUAACGUGGUACUUUACUUAAAGUUUUUACAGAUUUACAAGCUAACGAGGUACUUUAUUUAAAGAUUUUACACACAAUUCCAGAAAUAAAGCCAAAUAAAAAGGUGAUAUGCGGAAGCAAUGCUUUAUAUUACGCCAGAGCCAACUAUAGAUACAGUGUAUUUAUAAACGCCAUUGACUUUUACUGAUGAUGAAUUUUUCUAUUAUCAUAAUUUGCAUACACCUCAAUUAGUUUUACAGAAUAUUUACUAUCUCCCAACAAUAGAAGUAUCGAUUAGUUUCGUUCACCAAGAAGAAAUUAUCUAAUAUUUUUGACACUUGAAUAGAUAAGAAGAAAUUAUAUAAUAUUUUUGUUGUUGGCUGAAAUAUGAACGUAAAAUUUUAUGAGUCUCAAUUUACUUGAUUGACUAGUAAGCCACACUUUUGGUGAUGGUUGUUGCUAUUGGAAAAAGACUUAAGUAAACGUAUAAUCAAUGAAAUAACAUACUUAGAUAAACGUAUAAUUCUGAGUAAAUAAUAAGUGUAUUACCUAAGUGUUAAUUUAUUAGUUGGAAUAAUUUUAUUUCCUAGCCGACUACCACUUUUGUUUGCGGUCAAUAAUUUAAUUCAUUUCACACUUCAAUUAAAGAUACACAUCAUGACAGCAAUGGAAACAGCUAUAUCAUGAUUUUACAACUAUGGAAUAUGAAAAUUCCCAGCAAGAGUACAAUUAUGACAGUUAAUAUCUAAUGUGCACUAAAAUAAUCAAUCAUUAACAUGUAAAACCAAUCAGAAAUUGCCACUUUAACUAGCUAAUCAUCCAAUCACGUGUCGUCAUUUCCAUUUGCACAUUCCACUGUCCCCCAAAUUCCAGUAAAUUUAUUUUUCAUUUUUAUUCUCAUUAAUUAUUUUUUUUUAUUUUUCAUCAUCUCCACUAAUAAACAUAAUUAACGGCUUUAACAGCUACCGUUCCCUAUUAAUGAGGCCCAAACAAAGGCCCACAAAAUCCGCGUGGUGUAAUUCAACCACCGUUCCAGGGGCACCAAUGUAAUUUCAGUUCCUUUCCACCUUCCCGCUAUAACACUCUCUCUGUUUCCCUUUUUCAUAUUUAUUUUAUUUUAUUUUUGGUGCAGUAAUAAAUAUGGAAGAGAAGAACAUUAGAUUUGCAUGAAAAAUAUUGUAGGGGUAGUGCGUGUAUAAAUACAUGUACACAAAAGGGAGACGAUACAGAUACGAUACUUCACUCUCAUCUUCACACGCUUUUCUCUUUCUCUCUCUAAAAAGUGUCUUCCGUUUCUCUCGUCUUCCUUUUCUUGUAGUUCGGGGGUUGGAUCCUUUAUUCGGUUCUGGCAAAUCUGUAAGCAAAUUACUCUUAUUCUUAUAUUUUAAUUCUUGUUUGCAAUUAAUGAUUUUGGGCUAGAUCUGGGUUUUGAAUGCAGUUAUGCUUUGAUUCCAAUUUAUUGCCAUUGCAAACUUAUGAUCCCAGAUCUAUUAUGGAUAAGCAAGCAUGCAUCAUAUUGUGGACCACACAUUUGAAAUGCUGAUGAGCAAUGGGAAUGUUGUGUUUUGCUGAAUAUUAUGUUGGAUCUGAUGAUCCGUGUUUUUUUUUCCAAUUUCAAUUUUGUGCCGGUUUUUCUAAAUUUCCAUUAGUUUGUGAUUUGUCACAUAAUUAAUUGAUUUAUUCAUAAUUUUUGCUGGUAUUUAUAAUAUUCUGGCUAUAUUUUAUUGCUGAUCCAGGGAAAUUAUUUAUUAAUUCAUGUAUAUUCACUCUCAUUGUUUAUCUUGCUUUUACCUACUACAACCCCCCACAUAGUCAGAUUUAUGAUAUUGGGCACCUUUUCAGAAUCCGGGUUGUUGAACUUUUUUAAUGUUCUGGGGCUUGUUUUUGGUUAAUAUUUUUGUCGGUGUAUAGUUGUUUAUUAGUUCUCAAACAUUCUCUGUUGUUACCUGGUUACUUAUUAAUCUAUUUAAAAAAUUCAUUUUUAUGUCCUUUUUCCCUUUACGCCUUCUUUUAAGCUUUAGGUUUGCAGUUGUUAAUAGAUUAAAUUUUUUUUGUUUCUUGCAGGAUUUGAGUUGCUAUUAAACUGAGAAUAUUGAUUUGAAAUUCGUUAGCUGAAGAACCUGCAUCAAGAUGUCGACCUACACUCCUAAGAAUAUACUCAUUACUGGGGCCGCAGGGUUUAUUGCAUCUCAUGUUGCCAACCGCCUUGUUCGGAGUUACCCUGACUACAAAAUUGUUGUGCUUGACAAGCUUGAUUAUUGUUCCAACCUGAAAAACCUUAAUCCAUCUCGAUCCUCCCCUAAUUUCAAGUUUGUUAAGGGAGACAUUGGCAGUGCUGAUCUUGUUAACUACCUUCUCAUCACUGAGUCCAUUGACACUAUAAUGCACUUUGCUGCUCAGACCCAUGUUGACAACUCCUUUGGUAAUAGCUUUGAGUUCACCAAGAACAACAUUUAUGGUACACACGUGCUAUUAGAGGCUUGCAAAGUUACUGGUCAGAUCAGAAGGUUUAUCCAUGUCAGCACGGAUGAGGUUUACGGGGAGACUGAUGAGGAUGCCGUUGUGGGAAACCAUGAAGCCUCACAACUCCUUCCUACGAACCCAUAUUCAGCCACUAAAGCUGGGGCUGAAAUGCUUGUUAUGGCAUAUGGGAGAUCAUAUGGAUUGCCUGUUAUAACCACUAGAGGGAAUAAUGUAUAUGGUCCCAAUCAAUUUCCUGAGAAGUUAAUCCCAAAGUUUAUAAACCUAGCCAUGAGGGGGAAACCUCUUCCUAUUCACGGAGAUGGUUCAAAUGUUAGAAGUUAUUUGUACUGUGAGGAUGUUGCUGAGGCUUUCGAGGUCGUUCUUCACCGAGGAGAGGUUGGUCAUGUUUAUAACAUUGGAACUAAGAAAGAGAGGAGGGUGAUUGAUGUUGCCAAAGAUCUAUGCAAGCUUUUUAACAAGGAUCCAGAUGCAAGCAUUCAGUUUGUGGAGAACAGGCCCUUCAAUGACCAGAGGUAUUUUCUAGAUGAUCAGAAGUUGAAGAACUUGGGUUGGUCAGAGGGGACCACGUGGGAAGAGGGUCUGAAAAAAACCAUGGACUGGUAUAUCAGUAAUCCUGAUUGGUGGGGAGAUGUCUCUGGAGCAUUGCUUCCCCAUCCUAGAAUGCUGAUGAUGCCUGGUGGGGUAGAGAGAGGAGCUGAAAAAGAUGAUUCGGGGUCAUCUGAGUGCUCUGGAAACCCGAAAAAGAUGAUUCGGGAUCAUCUGAGUGCUCUGGAAACCCCAACCAGACCCGGAUGGUAGUUCCAGCUUCCAAGAUCGGCAACCCCCCUAAUGAAUCACCUUAUAAGUUUUUGAUUUAUGGUAGGACUGGUUGGAUUGGUGGUCUGCUAGGCAAGCUUUGUGAGAAACAGGGAAUUCCUUAUGAGUAUGGAAGGGGACGUCUGCAGGAUCGCUCACAACUUUUGGCAGACAUUCACGCUGUCAAGCCCACACAUGUAUUCAAUGCUGCUGGUGUCACCGGUAGACCUAACGUUGAUUGGUGUGAGAGUCAUAAAACUGAAACAAUUCGUACAAAUGUUGCUGGAACUCUAAACUUGGCUGAUGUUUGUAAAGAGCAUGGUUUACUGAUGAUGAAUUUUGCAACUGGUUGCAUAUUUGAAUAUGAUGCUGCACACCCAGAAGGUUCUGGUAUUGGAUUCAAAGAGGAAGACACGCCCAAUUUCGCUGGAUCUUUCUAUUCAAAGACCAAGGCUAUGGUUGGUACUCCUUAAGACUCUGUUUGCAUGUGUGUAUUCUUUUACAAAUAUUGAUACUGUUUGUUUCUUUCUUUCACCAGGUUGAAGGGUUGCUGAAAGAAUACGAGAAUGUUUGCACCCUCAGAGUCCGGAUGCCAAUAUCUUCAGACCUCAGCAACCCCCGGAAUUUCAUUACCAAGAUUAGUCGCUACAAUAAGGUGGUCAAUAUUCCCAACAGCAUGACAAUUUUGGAUGAGCUUCUUCCAAUUUCAAUUGAGAUGGCAAAACGUAAUCUCAAGGGCAUAUGGAAUUUCACAAAUCCCGGUGUUGUGAGCCACAAUGAGAUUUUGGAGAUGUUCAAGAAAUAUAUAAACCCAGACUUUACGUGGGCCAAUUUCACAUUGGAAGAACAGGCUAAGGUAAUUGUUGCAGCUCGCAGUAACAAUGAGAUGGAUGCUUCAAAGUUGAAAAAGGAGUUCCCUGAGUUGCUGCCAAUCAAGGAAUCAUUGGUCAAAUAUGUGUUUGAACCAAAUAGAAAAACUGCUGCUUAAUAAGCCUUAGGUUAUAAUAUCUAAGGAAUCAUUGGUCAAAUAUGUGUUUGAACACCAAAUAGAAAAACUGCUGCAUAAUAAGCCUUGGAUUAUUGAGAUCAGACUUCUGGUUUGGAUCAAUAUGCCACUUGACUUUGUAUCCUAGUUUAGUCAUUAUUCGUCAUUAGUAGCCAAUAUUUUCUAUUGUUUAGAUUCUUACCGGUGAUUAGAAUUCCUAUGCUUGGUUGUAUGAGUUAAUAAUGUUUAAUGUGCUAUGAGGAAGCUUUGGAUAGGAGUUCCCCAUGUAUCUGUUAUCAACCCUGUGUGCUAAGGGUUUAUUUACUGAAUCUAAUAUAUAUGGAAUUAUGAAUUGUUUUUUGCUCCAUGUCAUAGUGAUCUUUUUCUCUUACACAUUUGAGUGGAAAGUUGC
rnacentral:lncRNA from 1 species